UACGGAGGGUGCGAGCGUUGUCCGGAAUCAUUGGGCGUAAAGGGCGCGUAGGUGGCCCGGUCAGUUCGUGGUGAAAGCGCGGGGCUCAACCCUGCGUCGGCCAUGAAUACUGCCGCGGCUGGAGCACUGUAGAGGCAGGCGGAAUUCCGGGUGUAGCGGUGGAAUGCGUAGAGAUCCGGAAGAACACCGGUGGCGAAGGCGGGUUGCUGGGCCGACACUGACGCUGAGGCGCGAAAGCCAGGGGAGCGAACGGG
rnacentral:rRNA from 1 species